GACGAACGCUGGCGGCGUGCUUAACACAUGCAAGUCGAACGGAAAGGCCUCUUCGGAGGUACUCGAGUGGCGAACGGGUGAGUAACACGUGGGCAAUCUGCCCUGCACUUCGGGAUAAGCCUGGGAAACUGGGUCUAAUACCGGAUAGGACCUCAAGACGCAUGUCUUCUGGUGGAAAGCUUUUGCGGUGUGGGAUGGGCCCGCGGCCUAUCAGCUUGUUGGUGGGGUGACGGCCUACCAAGGCGACGACGGGUAGCCGGCCUGAGAGGGUGUCCGGCCACACUGGGACUGAGAUACGGCCCAGACUCCUACGGGAGGCAGCAGUGGGGAAUAUUGCACAAUGGGCGCAAGCCUGAUGCAGCGACGCCGCGUGGGGGAUGACGGCCUUCGGGUUGUAAACCUCUUUCACCAUCGACGAAGGUCCGGGUUUUCUCGGAUUGACGGUAGGUGGAGAAGAAGCACCGGCCAACUACGUGCCAGCAGCCGCGGUAAUACGUAGGGUGCGAGCGUUGUCCGGAAUUACUGGGCGUAAAGAGCUCGUAGGUGGUUUGUCGCGUUGUUCGUGAAACCUCACGGCUUAACUGUGAGCGUGCGGGCGAUACGGGCAGACUAGAGUACUGCAGGGGAGACUGGAAUUCCUGGUGUAGCGGUGGAAUGCGCAGAUAUCAGGAGGAACACCGGUGGCGAAGGCGGGUCUCUGGGCAGUAACUGACGCUGAGGAGCGAAAGCGUGGGGAGCGAACAGGAUUAGAUACCCUGGUAGUCCACGCCGUAAACGGUGGGUACUAGGUGUGGGUUUCCUUCCUUGGGAUCCGUGCCGUAGCUAACGCAUUAAGUACCCCGCCUGGGGAGUACGGCCGCAAGGCUAAAACUCAAAGGAAUUGACGGGGGCCCGCACAAGCGGCGGAGCAUGUGGAUUAAUUCGAUGCAACGCGAAGAACCUUACCUGGGUUUGACAUGCACAGGACGCGUCUAGAGAUAGGCGUUCCCUUGUGGCCUGUGUGCAGGUGGUGCAUGGCUGUCGUCAGCCCGUGUCGUGAGAUGUUGGGUUAAGUCCCGCAACGAGCGCAACCCUUGUCUCAUGUUGCCUGCGGGUAAUGCCGGGGACUCGUGAGAGACUGCCGGGGUCAACUCGGAGGAAGGUGGGGAUGACGUCAAGUCAUCAUGCCCCUUAUGUCCAGGGCUUCACAC
rnacentral:rRNA from 1 species